UACGGAGGGGGCUAGCGUUGUUCGGAAUUACUGGGCGUAAAGCGCACGUAGGCGGCGUGGUAAGUCACUUGUGAAAUCUCUGAGCUUAACUCAGAACGGCCAAGUGAUACUGCUGUGCUAGAGUGCAGAAGGGGCAAUCGGAAUUCUUGGUGUAGCGGUGAAAUGCGUAGAUAUCAAGAGGAACACCUGAGGUGAAGACGGGUUGCUGGGCUGACACUGACGCUGAUGCGCGAAAGCUAGGGGAGCAAACGGG
rnacentral:rRNA from 1 species